AUGGAGGAACUGUUAUGAUAUAACUGAAGUGUUUUACGGUCUUUUCCUCCUGCUUAAAGCAUUUGGUAAAUAAGUAUCUCUAACUCCAUUCCAUAAGACAGAGACGCUUGGUCUCAAAACAU
ensembl:snoRNA SNORA63 Small nucleolar RNA SNORA63